rnacentral:lncRNA from 1 species
CUGUGAGGGCGUCACCUCCCUCGACUCUCGCUCUGCGUUCCUUGACUUUUUUUGGUCUGGCUCGGUUUUUGUUUCGAGCCAGGUGCACAACAGAUAAUACAAAACCUUGUAAGCUGGAAUGUGACCUUAUGGUUGAAACUGUAGCAGCCAACCUGUGUCCAUGAGGGAAAUAUCAAGGGAAUUCAAAGGCUCUGGAGUUAACUAAACCAGAAACAACAACUGCAUGCAUCUGGACUUCCCAUUAUGUGGGGAAAAGGGGAAGUCAGCUGCCAUGUUGAGAGGAUACUCAGGCAACCUGUGGAGAAGUGAGACUGAGGUCUCCUGCCGACAUCCAUGCAUGUGA